ACCCCUUACUGGGAUAAAUAUUUCUGGUGGGUAUAUGUAAACUUCAUUGUGGGUAUGUGUAAUGGUGCCACACUGAUCAGAUGUGUCAAUAAAAUAGCCAUGGAAAAGCCUCCAACAGUUAUAUUCUCCUCUCUGAAAGCAUUGGAGAUGAUUUUCAUUGCAGAGUUUUUGCAUAAAUAGAACAACUGAGAGAGGCACAGCACAAGCAUUUGCCUCUUGCAGUGUGAUGGAGUUUUAAAAAAUAUCUAGAAUGGAGAAUAAUGGUCCCCCCUUAAGUACAAUCAGUGUCUCAUGCUUUUAUUCCUUUUAUGAUCCUAGGAGUCUGGAGAGAUAGAUACAGUUUUAAGGAUAAGAAGUCUAUCCAUUCUGAGUGGUGAUUUAGAAUAAGAAGUAAAGUUAAUGCUGCAUGUACUUUAGAAUCUCUUCUAAGCCACUAAAUUACACAUAGGACUAGCAGGAGGAUGAUGUUAGCAGUUUUAUCUUUAAAAAAGCUUCACUAGUAAAAGCUUUGCUUCUGAAAUCACAACAAAGAGAGGAAGAAAAAAGAAAGUAAGAAUGAGAAAUUCAACCUAGAUUCACUGAAAUAAGACAGAAGUAAAGGUCUGGUUAAAUUGAGUUCACGAUCUGCUAUCAUUCUUCAGACAUACAUGACCAUCACAUGACCACCGCAUGCAAUUGCAAAUCACAUUGUUAAUGAAAGCAGAUACACUCUUGGUGAAGAGUCCUUUAUUUUAACAGCAAUCCAACUAAUUUAAGUAGAACCUUGAAAUGAAUAUGGUAAUACUCUACUGCAGAUAUGGAGGUGAAAAAUGUAACAUCAUGGACUUUGAGUCCUUAGGAUCACUGUUGGACUACAGGUCAAAAACACCAAUACAUUUUCAUAAUUCGGUCGGGUGUUUGACUCUUUCCAUGAAAAAUGCAAAUGUUUUUAUCUCAGCCCCCAAACAGGAUAGGAUGAAAUACAUGUAAAUGUGUUUUCUUCAUCUAGCUAUAAAAAAUGAAAAAUAUAUACUUUUCCAUUAUAGAAGUGGUACAUUAUGCUUGCCACACCAUUUUGAUAGCAGUUAGCUGAUGCCUAUGUUAUUUAGCAUAAGCAAUCACAAUCUAUCCAUUAUGCUAAAUGAAUAAUAAUAACUUCUGGGCUAUGAAGUGACAGAAAUUCAUAGCUACAUAGACUUCGGACAGGUUUUUGCUGAUAUGGCAAUAUGAAGUUUCAUGGUUGAAUAGACAUUAAUCUCUAAGUGAACAGUAAAAUAAAAAAUGUAGAUGUUUGUGUUCUCUCUCCUUCCCUUCAGGAGAAAAUUAAAUUAAAAAAGCAGUCAAAAUAAUUUCCUACCAAAACAAACAUGUAAGAUAAGCCAUGCACAAACUAUUUUUACCAACAAAAAAUAUCUUCCACCUAAGACUAGAAAAAUAUUAUCCAAGUGAUCUAGAGUGUGCUACUUCAUAGAAGGAAUGAAUUCCCCAAUCUAUAAAGGACAAGACUGAUCACAACUUUACAUCUCACUGGAAAAGCCUUAGUGAAUGCAAUAUACAAACAGUCUGUUUAAUGAUAUGAUACAAGAUGUUGUCAUAUUUUAUUAUCCUUGAUUUUGCAUGCCUCUCAUAGUUUCCGCAGUGGCACCAGGAGGCAUCUACUCCCAUCAACAGUUUGAGACUGGAACCCUCAGUCAUACAAAAAAUUAUUCAAGUACAUAGGACUGUAAGACUCUGAAUGGGAACUCUCUGAACAGAGCAGCUGUUGCUGUUAUGUAAAAUGAAAUUCAAUAACCCCAUUAGGGUUCAUUUAUAGUAGCUGUUGAUAAUAGCUACUCUGUAUUUAAUGAGUGUUGGCUUCUUUUAAAACAUUAAUCAAAAUCUAGUGAGUCACCCCAGGUAGGAAAAUAAUGUCAAGUACCAGGUUUGUAGUGCUUCAUCUACCAAGAGUAUGUCUUUUGAGGCACAUACCUUAUCUUACUGCCCACAACCCACAACCAUCAACAUAAAUAAGAAUGGAUAUAGAUUAAAUAUUAAAAAAAAUAUCGGUCCUAUAACUAUAGAUUAAAAAAAAAAAAAAAAGAGAAAAGCCACAGCUUGUGUUUGUAAUAUUACAAACUGAAGGGCAAUUAAACCAUUCAUAUGUAAUUUUAAUUCUGCUUACAGAAGCUGAGUAGCACAGCUGGAGCCAUGCCUCUGUAAUUCUUCCACACCAUGGCUAUACUGUAUUAAAGAAAAAAAGAACAACCUGAAUUUCUCAAACUAUCACAGAAUGCCAACUGCUCCUUAUUCCAAGAAAGCACUUAAUAAUUUAAAACCAAGGACAGGGCAUCCCUAAAAUAAAUUAGCUUGAUCAAGAUAAUCAGUGUAGAUGCUCAGAACUCACAAUUCAUAUACUGUUGGUAAAGUCGAUAUUUUAAAAGAGUCUCAUUUCAAAUUAGAAAGAUAGAUGGCUAGGGGUAAAGAUGUUUUCCCAGAAUGUAUAUUGGGGGAGGGAGAAAGAAUUAUAAAUGUUAGUCAGAUUUCUCCAAAUGAUAAUGAAAAGAGAGACCCCAGUCAUGAAGCAAUCAAUAAAUCCUACACAUUUGCCAUUGCAGCUCCUUGCACCAGAUUUUAUUUUUUUAUUUUUUUUUAAUGAAGCACAUGAAAGUCUCACUCUGAUCAAAAAUAUAUAGAAAUCAUUAUUGUACCAGGCUAAAAUCACCUGUUCUGCAACCAAUGUGAAGCUGACCUAAGGCCAUGAAGCUGGCCUCAAUUGCAUAUUUUGUAGCAGCCUUAUUUAACACAUUUAUGUCUCCUCCUGACGCAGCACUGCACAGCCUGCUUGUACAGGACCCAGACAUAAGGGGCUUCAGUGCAGCCCUAAUUCACAGAUGCCUCAAGGUAUUGCUGGGGUUGGCAAAAGCCUGAUUCUCCCCUGAUCAGCUCUCAGGCUCUGCAUUGUCCUCACACCCAGCUGAAGAACUGAGAAGUGAUGCGAUGGGUUUCAGCCAGGUUAACCAAGAGGAAGAAACCAGGCCCAGCUACAGUGGAACCUUGUUUUCAGUUUGUGGGCUUAGAUGAUCUUCAAAACCAACUGACACAUUUAUUCAGAACAGUAGGCUUCAGAAAACCACUUUUCUUUUCCCUUGUCCCUCCUCCUUAUGCUUGAUAACAGUUUUGUUGGAAAAAUCUCUUAUCCAGAUCUGAGAAUUCUUCAGAGAGUAAGUGACUUGGAUAUUCCACGAACUUUUAACAUAAUCCUUCUCUGACUGUCACUUUGUUUUAUAUAAUAAAUCAAAAGGUUAAGGAUCAAGUGAAAUCAUGCAGAGAAUUAUUUCAGGGCUCAUAGCAACAUAAUCAGCUCCUUAUUUAAAAAGUCAAAAAAGCAGCAAAACAUUCUUUUAAAUUUUAGUGUCUAGACAAAUUAUUGUUUUAACCAGUAAUCAGAAGUGAAUUCCACCAUCAUAAAUGAUGUUAAAAUCUUUAAGAGGCAUACAGUUCAGUCUCAGGCUUCAUAACCUGCCAAAUCUUACAUUAAUGAGCAGUCAGGAACAAACAGAGAUGUCAAAUAUUUUAUACCAGAACCAUUAAGUGCCUUGAAAACACAGUGGUGAAACAUUUGAGUUAAUAUCCACUGUAAAAAGUAUAAAAAUAAGAGUGAUAUGUCCUAAAGUAAAAGCUUCUGCACAGUUUCUGUGUAAUGUCACACCAAGGCCAAACCUUAAAGAAGAUAUAGAAACUCCUUGUUAAAUGUUAGAGUAAUCAGUCCCCAAUUUUUAAAAGUAUCUUUUUUUUUUUCCUGAUUAAAAAAGAUUCCUGGCAUAAUCGUAUAUAUUUUUUAAAGUGUUUAUUAUUAUAUGUUGUAAAGUACAAUUAAUUUGCUUCUUUAUUCUAAGAAAUAAAAAAUAUGGACCUAGAGUAAAAGGAUUACAAAAAUAUGCUUACAUGGAUUGGAAUCUCACUGUUCAAAGAAACAGGAUAAACUCAAAAUAUGUAUGUGUAUAUGCAGAAGGGCAACUAUUUAGAUAACUCUGAACAAUAAAUAAAUAAAUAAAUAAAAAUUAUUUGUGACAGCACAUAGCAAUUUACAGAUAAAAAAAAAAGUCCAUCACAAACCUUCAAGCAACUUGAGAACAAGAAGGGCCAAGUGUGUCCUUGGACAAUAGAAGAUCACCGUAUUUAAUAAUUUAUAUGUAAUUUGAACAAAAGUAAAGUAGCAUCUGCAGGCUCAGCUCAAGAUAGUACAUUUGGUGAACCUGGUAAAUAUUUGAGGACUUCAAAGCAAGCUGAAUGGGCUAUGACAUGCUUUCAACAAGCCCUCCACUGUGAAAAAGCAUUUUGUUAAGUCCACGUUGGAUUUUUCAAAUAGAUCAAAAAGAAUAAGAUUUAUACAAUUCUAUCUCAUUGACUUGCCCAGUUAGUUAAAACAGGAACAAUCAAUUUGAUGCUCAAUGCAGAAAAACAAAACACUCCCAUUACCUCCCAAACACACACAAAUACUCCUUUUUUCUCAACCUGUCCAAAAAAUUCAGAGCCCCAUUUGUGAGCAAUUCAUGUUUUAAUGAAGUACUUCUCUAUACCUUAGGUGAACAGUUACAUAUUACACUGUUUUACCAAUCAUUUAGGAAUAAUACUCAAAACAAAACCACUGCCCUGUGGAGGUGGUAUAAUAUAUCAAAAUGUGGCUGAUACAGAUCUUUUGCUUUGUCCCUGAACAUCAUGAUAAACUAGUGACAGUGAAAUAUAAAAAUUAAUAUGAAUCCAUCAAAGUCAUUUGCUCUCAAGCUGUACAGCUGAGACAGAACAGCACAUUAACAAUAGGGCAGAAGGUAUAAGUAGGCUGCUGCACCUUCUGGAUGAAGGAGUUCAUGUAGAGUCUGAGAAAAGGUUGUACAUGUGACUCCUCCCUCCAGCAAUAAGGUUCAUUAUACAAAAUUUUUGCUUGGCAAGGGCAACAUGAAAUUUUGCCAUUUGCAAUAUUCAUACCGCAGGAGACUCAUGCCAUUUUCAUUCAACCAUCUGGCCACACAACAUUGUUUUUCAGGGUAUUAUCCAGUCUGCUCAAUUUAGAUAUUGCAUCACCUCAGUUUUACGUGUUUGGCAAAGGAAGGCAGUUUAGUUUGCCCAUUUUCUCUGCAAGUCAAUGGAGAGAGUCAGGUACAUUUGAAGACUUGCAAAAGUAUAUCCAUUCUUUCUUGGUUACAUAUUUCACCCUCUGUCCUGCCUAUACGUGGGCUCUGCGCAUUUCCAGAUGACGUCAGUCCAGUCUGUUAAAGAAGCUAAAGGAUUUAGCUUCUUUUUGUAUGUUGUACUUAAUCUCAUCUACCAGCUCCAUUUUGAGGACAGGUGUCAAAUAAAACCAAAGUUGUAGCACUUUAUUGAACUCUCUUGGUAUUUAAAAUGUGUGAUAAAGUUGGCAGAUCUGGAUGCCAGACUAUCUUCAACCUGAUUAGAGCUGAGGCUGUCUCAGGAGAGUGCCCAAGUAAAUUCUCUACCCAAGAGCUCUUCUCCCAUCAGAAAGGGAAAAAGUACUGCAAGAGUUCAAGUCCAGUUUAUUAGCUAAAACAUUUAGUUGUGAGAGGACUUCCUUAUUUACUGAUAUCACAUUAUGCCAUGUCCUUGUCAUAUUGGGACAGAAACAGGAUUCAUCCACAUUCGUCCAGUACCGUACUCAUGUAAGGUGAAGCCAGACACAGACUUUGCACAGUCUAACAUCUGGGGCUUUUCCAAGGGUUCAAGUAUCCUUCUGCUUAAACUUAGAUUGCAAUAUACCUUUGGGUGCACAAUUCUCCAGAAGGAAAUACUCUUGUGUACAUACAGACUGACAAAAUGUUAGUGCUUAGGAAACAUUCAGACUGCAUUGGGAGGUAUCAAUUUCAGUGUCUCAUGGAUUUAACAGUCUUAGUAACUACACGGACUGAAUCACUGUCUAGGACUCAGCAGGCUUCAAAGCUUCCUAAUUCCACUGUAAGAAGGAUUUAGGAAGAUCAUAACCUCACUUCUUAAUGUCCUUAAAACAAGGAGUAGCAACAAAUACUCCAAAUUGCAGUCCACAAAGGUAAUAUAACAGUUCAGAGCUACAAGUUUCACCAGAAGUCAAGUUUCUGACUUGCAUAUAUAUUUGUUCAAAUUAACAGUAGUGAGUUGACAUUUGAUGUAAAUUCCAUAUAAAAUAAUCUGACAAGUUUUUAAGGGUUAAGUGACUACAGAGCUAUCAAACAUGAAUAACUUGCUCCCAAACCUCUAGUUAUGCCUCAGAGCUUGUUUGCCAUGGUUAAAAGCUUGUAUAUCAAAAGUAUAAAAAUGAAUGAAAAAUUCGCUCUAUAAAGGCCAUAUAGUGGUUAUCCUAUUGCCCGAGACAGAACUCUGGAGCAGUUAACUGUUUAUUAGUGUUGAAGGACAAAGGAAUAUAACAGAUCUAUACAUGAAGGUCUAUAAUUCCUGCAAAAAUAUGUGUUAUUAUGCCUUGCUCACACUCAUAAAAACAAAUGAUAUUUUCCUUUGCAAAGGCAUACUGUACUUAUUGCUGAUCCCAUCUCCCAGAACAAAAGCUGCUGAUGGAAAUAUCUUUCUACACGAGGCACUGAAGAUCUGAUCUUGAAUUUCUUUCAGUCUAUGAGCUCACCUCAAGGAAAUGAAGACAACAAGCUUCAUACCUAAGUGGUAUACAUUUUUAAGAGAUCAGAAAUGCAUCACACCCUAUAACUCUGUCAGUCUCACAUGCAAUAUUGUACAAAGAGCAUGUUACUUCUUUCAAAGAGAAUAUUGCUGAACUAAUGGAGAUGCUCAAGGAAAAAAAAAAGAGAAUGCUUUUCAGAAGAGAAAAAAAAAAAAAAGAAAAACACAUUUCUGACCAUGAGUAUAAUUGGAAAAUACUGGAGCUGUCAAUUCAGUAAAAGUAAUGGGAAUGAAACUAGUAUAGAAUAUGUAAGUAAUUGAUGUUUUGCUUUGCCUGCAGAACAGAGGGCUAUAUUCACAAGACUUGAGAAACAGGUUGUCCUGGAUUGAUACUACUGACUGGGAAAGAGCUGAGGAGCAUUUCAGUGCAGAGAGCCACGGACACAAACAGACCAGUGAAGAAAGGGACUUUGCUGUAGGAGCCUCACACUCAGCCUUUCCAUAUGGAAAAAUUCACUUACAUAGUAUCACCGCCUCUAAACAAGGAGAAAUAUAACCCAGCCUUCCACCCUGAGCAGCCUGGGUCUCUAGGGAAGCUCAAGGAGUCAUUUGAGAAAGGACUGCAAGGAGUAUCUCACAGCAGAUUUGAAUAUUAAACAAGCAAUUUUAUGCUGCCAGUCCCUGCAGACUAUCAAGAAAAUUGUUGUGUUACUCAGAGUUGUCCUACAUACAUUGCUCCUUACAUGCUAAAUUUAAUCUGAAGUUUGGGUUGCUGAAAUAAUUAAUACAAACCUAACUUAAAUACAAAAAUUAUAGUCUUAGUAAAACAAGCAAACAAACUCACCUAGAACUAUAAGGCUGAAAAUGAUAAAAUGAUGUAACUGCAUUUGAAAUAAAAUUCGUGUUGAAGA